GAUGAACGCUGGCGGCGUGCUUAACACAUGCAAGUCGAACGGUGAAGGUGGGAGCUUGCUCCUGCUGGAUCAGUGGCGAACGGGUGAGUAACACGUGAGUAACCUGCCCCGGACUCUGGGAUAAGCGUUGGAAACGACGUCUAAUACCGGAUACGAGACGAGAAGGCAUCUUCAUCGUCUGGAAAGAUUUUUUGGUCUGGGAUGGACUCGCGGCCUAUCAGGUUGUUGGUGAGGUAAUGGCUCACCAAGCCUACGACGGGGAGCCGGCCGGAGAGGGUGACCGGCCACACUGGGACUGAGACACGGCCCAGACUCCUACGGGAGGCAGCAGUGGGGAAUAUUGCACAAUGGGCGAAAGCCUGAUGCAGCAACGCCGCGUGAGGGACGACGGCCUUCGGGUUGUAAACCUCUUUUAGUAGGGAAGAAGCGAAAGUGACGGUACCUGCAGAAAAAGCACCGGCUAACUACGUGCCAGCCGCCGCCGUAA
rnacentral:rRNA from 1 species